rnacentral:rRNA from 1 species
CGCGGGAUUGGGGAACGGGGGACGGGGCGCAGCAGGCGCGAAACCUUUACAAUGCACGAAAGUGUGAUAAGGGGACCCUGAGUGCUCAUGUUUACAUGGGCUUUUGUUAAGUGUAAAUAACUUGGCGAAUAAGUGGUGGGCAAUACCGGUGCCAGCCGCCGCGGUAACACCGGAGCCACGAGUGGGAGCCGCUAUUAUUGGGCCUAAAGCGUCCGUAGCCGGUUUGUCAAAUCUCUUGUGAAAUUGUCGGGCUCAACCUGACAACGUGCAUGAGACACUAACAAACUAGGGGCCGGGAGGAGUCAGAGGUAUUUCGGGGGGAGCGGUAAAAUGUUAUAAUCCUCGAAGGACCACCUAUGGCGAAGGCAUCUGACCAGAACGGAUCCGACGGUGAGGGACGAAAGCCAGGGGAGCAAACCGGAUUAGAUACCCGAGUAGUCCUGGCUGUAAACGCUGCGAGCUAGGUGUUGCGUAUUCUUCGUGGAUGCGCAGUAUCGGAGCGAAGGUGUUAAGCUCCCCGCCUGGGAAGUACGGUCGCAAGGCUGAAACUUAAAGGAAUUGGCGGGGGAGCACUACAAGGGGUGCGGCGUGCGGUUUAAUCUAACUCUACACAGAGAAUCUCACCAAGGGCGACGGCAGGAUGAAAGUCAGUCUAAAGGGCUUACUUGACGAGCCGAGAGGUGGUGCAUGGCGGCCGUCAGCUCGUGCCGUAAGGUGUCACUUUAAGUGGUGUAACGAGCGAGACCUGCGUCUACAAUUGCUAGCGAGUCCUUUUGGAUGAUCGAGCACAUUGUAGGGACUGCCUUCGAAAGGAGGAGGAAGGUGCAGGCUACGGUACGUCUGUAUGCCCCGAAUCUCUUGGGCUACACGCGCGCAACAAUGGUAGAGACAAUGGGCUGCAACUCCGAAAGGAGAAGCUAAUCCUCGAAACUCUAUCCUAGUCCAGAUUGAGGGUUGUAACUCACCCUCAUGACGCUGGAAUCCCUAGUAAUCGGGUAUCAACAGUACCCGGUGAAUACGUCCCUGCUCCUUGCACGAAUUCGCCGAAUCACUAGU